GGGUGCAAACGUUGCUCGGAAUCAUUGGGCGUAAAGCGCACGUAGGCGGCCCGAUAAGUCGGAUGUGAAAUCCCUCGGCUCAACCGAGGACGUGCGAUUCGAAACUGUCGGGCUCGAGUAUGGAAGAGGGUCGGCGGAAUUCCCGGUGUAGAGGUGAAAUUCGUAGAUAUCGGGAGGAACACCAGUGGCGAAGGCGGCGUUCUGGACUGCAACUGACACUGAUGAACGAAAGGCCAGGGGAGCAAACGGG
rnacentral:rRNA from 1 species